AAUGCUGAAUAAAGUAGUAAUUUUUGUUAUUUUUGGACCAAAAUUUAUUUUCGAUGCUUCAGCAAAUUCUAACGGACCCUCUGAUGUCACAUGGACUACUUUGAUAAUGUUUUUAUUACCUUUCUGGACGUGGACAGUAUACCGUACAUACAUUUUCAAUGGAGGGACAGAAAGCUCUCGGACUAAAUCUAAAAUAUCUUAAACUGUGUUCCGAAGAUGAACGGAGGUCUUACGGGUUUGGAACGACAUGAGGCUCUCAACCGCCGUGAAUGUCCAUUACCCUGGUGAUGGCCAUUCCUCUUGAGUUCACACUGCAUGGGCUGCUAAAGCCUCCUGAAUAUGUGCUUUGGACAGUGAGGUGACUUCAAAUCCACGUCGUCUUUUUUUUCUGUUAGACAGAAGCCUGGCAGACAUGGAUCCCGAUUCAGACUGAUUUGAGAGAAAAUAUUGACCCUGGAGCUUGACCAGUGCAUUGGAGGCCUUGGAAGGACAGAACAGCGGUUGGGACGAGUCUGCAUGAGAUGACAGUCUCCAAGAAAACUGUGUCCAAAAACACAAGCUUCUAUAACAAGCUCCAAAGAAUUCUCCCUGGCCCCAUGAGCUCAGUGUCAGACAAAUCUUUCUGUUUAUAGAAGGAUGAUGCUUGCAGUGUUCCAUCCACUACUGAUGAUGACACAACAUGAAAUUGUUGCUUGUUCAUUUUUUAAUGGCAACCCCCAUUUAUAAAAUAUAUUAAAUAUUAAAUAUAGAAUUGAUCAAAAUGGCCACUCAGUUUACAGUGCCUUGAUCCUGGACUUGAGCUGGUAAUAGCAGAGCAAAAGUCAAUGAUGAUGAUGAUUUCAGAGAAAGGGGACCUAUAACCAGUAAUAGUUUUACAGAUCCUUCUGUUUUGAGGGGGGCAAAUGGACUAUGCCCUUCCUCAGAAAGAGGGAGACUAAAAGAGAAAAGGGUCCCUUAAGUAAUGCACCGGUAAUGUGAAAGCAUCACUUUGAAGUGUUCUUUGAAUAAAAGAAGUUUAGAUCUUCUGACUUUAGUAAUCUGUGCCAUAAAUGUUUAUAUUUGGUGCUGCCAAUGCACAUAAUAUAAAAUAAAACGCCUCUCAAAG
ensembl:lncRNA